GAUUUCUGACGAACCGGAGUGGCCCGUUUCCUUUCUGGGAAUGAGUGCCGCUUUGAGUUUGUCAUCCUUCCAGAGAGCUGCGUCUACCGUUUACUCGGCCGGACGUAUGCGAUCUGGAUCUAUUACUUUGAAAAAAUUAGAGUGUUUAAAGCAGGCUUGCGCUAUGAAUACAUUAGCAUGGAAUAAUAAUUUAGGACUUUGGUCUUAUUUUGUUGGUUUCUAGGACUAAAGUAAUGAUUGAUAGGGACAGUUGGGGGUGCUAGUAUUCAGCGGCCAGAGGUGAAAUUCUUGGAUUCGCUGAAGACUAACUUAUGCGAAAGCAUU
rnacentral:rRNA from 1 species